UUGGAGGGCAAGUCUGGUGCCAGCAGCCGCGGUAAUUCCAGCUCCAAUAGCGUAUAUUAAAGUUGUUGCUGUUAAAAAGCUCGUAGUUGAAUUUCGGGAUUGACGUAAUGGUCGUGCCUUAAGGGGUAUGAACUGUUACUGUUGAUUUCUCACCUUCUGGAGAAACUUGAUGUCCUUAAUUGGGUGUCUUGCGGAUCCAGGACCUUUACCUUGAAAAAAUUAGAGUGUUUAAAGCAGGCAUUUUUGCUCGAAUACAUUAGCAUAGAAUAAUAGAAUAGGACGGCAUGGUUCUAUUUUGUUGGUUUCUAGGAUCACCGUAAUGAUUAAUAGGGAUAGUUGGGGGCAUUAGUAUUCAAUUGUCAGAGGUGAAAUUCUUGGAUUUAUUGAAGACUAACUACUGCGAAAGCAUUUGCCAAGGAUGUUUUCAUUAAUCAAGAACGAAAGUUAGGGGAUCGAAGACGAUCAGAUACCGUCGUAGUCUUAACCAUAAACUAUGCCGACUAGGAAUCAGACGAUGUUAAUUUUUUAAUGACUCGUUUGGCACCUUACGGGAAACCAAAGUGUUUGGGUUC
rnacentral:rRNA from 1 species